UGUUUUAGGGAUGUUGGAUUCGGUGUUAACGAAAAUGUAAACUUACUUUUUUCAAAUAGUGAUUAACUAGGUGAUUUUAUUAACUUGUUAUACAUUCAUUGAAGAAAUACUCAAAAUUCAUAGCGUAAAAAGAAGUCUAGUGAAUGAAAACAGUUAACGGUUGAAUUAAUCAACUAUUUCGUUGAGGUAAUGUCCAUCCAAAGAGUUUAGUAAGGAUACUAUUGUAAUGCGUCCAUCCCUAUCUUGUUCUUAUUUACUUAGGAUCAGCUGGUCAACUUUCUGUUGCAAUAUUUUAAAACAAAUGAGUAUUACAACUAAGUAUUUGGCCAAAAUUGGCCUGCUGAAAGAUCAUAUAGGGCGAAAAUGGUUUGCGAAGUACCGAUAUCGAUGUAAAUUAAACCGUGACAUGAGAUGAGAUGUUUGACAAAUGCCGCAUAGGAUAUAAACACCAACGAUUGACGAACCAACCAAAAAGGUAGUGUUGAGAUGUGGAAUAAUAGUUGGAGGACAAAAACCUGUUGCGCCAACCCUACGGGAGUAGGAUAAGAAGGAAAUUGAUGAUGAUGAUUGAGAGUUACUAUUUUGAUAACUAAACCGUUUUGUAAGUAAUGAAGCCAGCAAAGAAACUAGACAGGAGGAAAUAUGAAGAGUAAUUUGAAUAUGAAUAAUAUAAAAAUCACCAAUGACCGAGACAUAGAUUAAUUGAUAACUAGUGAUGCUGCUAUAUUGGGACUGCUCUGCGACAAGCUGAAUACUGGGUGACAUGGAGGCAAUUGGUCUACACAUUUGUAAAGGCAUUUCAAGUCUGACAGGACCUCCAGUAAUCAGGCUCACUAAAAAGAAAAAGUGAAGCAUUUUAUUAGUUAUUGACAAAUGAACUUUUCUUUCUCUCAAUUUUGUGUAAUCUAAUUAACAGACAACUAGUGAAGACAAGUGCUAAAUAAAAAUAUUCGAGCAGAUGUUGGAAAGCAGUCUAGGUUCAGUUGUAUUGUUUGUAAUAUAGAACCUGAUAAUGUAUCAUUUUUAAAAGAGAAUAGAUUGACAUCUUGAGAUGAACAUUUACUUCAACUGAAUUGUGAAUGGUAAUAUAAAUGUUAAUUGGAGAAUAAUAUGUAUCUAAUGGAAUUAUAAAUAAACAACUAAACAUUCUGAAAAGUGGAAUCACCUGAAUACUAUGAGCAACAUGAUAAAACUUCCUUCAGGACUCCUCUUCUUUUUAUAAGACUGACAUUUAUGUAAUUAAACAUUUAUAAGUAGAAACACCAAUUAUAAGCAUAAAGUACUGAGGAAUGCUUGUCUUACAAUACCAAAUAAAGUGCUAACUGUAAGUAAUGAACACUUUGCCUUAUAAAGAUAGAAUUGAAUGGAUUCUUCCAGACAUAAGAAAUUGUGCAAAUGCAGCAUACAGGAGUGGACUGGAAUUAUAAGUGAGGCCAAACUAUUUUACCCUACAAGACUAAAUUAAAAAUUUUUAAAAACAUGCCACUUUUCUGUAUGUCAACACCUCCACUGUUGGGAAAUGCACCAGUCUAGUCUAGGAUACAAGUUAACUGUCAAGAUUCCAUCACUUGUAAUGGCAAAAGUUGGUGUUAGAAGUACAAUUGACAACCAUAAUUAUUUGUACAGUAGUGAUUGUCAUAUUUAACCCUUAUUGUGGUAAGAUUUCUUUUUUGAAGAAUAGCAAAAGUUGUAUGUAAGUAGCUAAGUUAAAACUUAAAUUAUAGUGAUUGUAUAUGCUAUACAAAAUGGAUGUAAGAGUUAUAGAAAUUUUGUGAAGAAAUGUAUGAAAUGCUUUACAAACAUGUGUAAGAAAAGAGGUGAUAAAAAAUUAAA